UACAGAGGGAGCUAGCGUUGUUCGGAAAUACUGGGCGUAAAGCGCACGUAGGCGGCGCAGCAAGUCAGGGGUGAAAUCCCGGGGCUCAACCCCGGAACUGCCCUUGAAACUGCAGUGCUAGAAUUCUGGAGAGGCGAGUGGAAUUCCGAGUGUAGAGGUGAAAUUCGUAGAUAUUCGCAAGAACACCAGUGGCGAAGGCGGCUCACUGGCCCGUUACUGACGCUGAGGCACGAAAGCGUGGGGAGCAAACAGG
rnacentral:rRNA from 1 species